rnacentral:rRNA from 1 species
AACAAACGCUGGCGGCAGGCCUAACACAUGCAAGUCGAACGCCCUAGCAAUAGGGAGUGGCAGACGGGUGAGUAACGCGUGGGAACGUGCCCUUCGGUUCGGAAUAACUCAGGGAAACUUGAGCUAAUACCGGAUACGUGCGAGAGCAGAAAGAUUUAUCGCCGAAGGAUCGGCCCGCGUCCGAUUAGCUAGUUGGUGAGGUAAUGGCUCACCAAGGCGACGAUCGGUAGCUGGUCUGAGAGGAUGAUCAGCCACACUGGGACUGAGACACGGCCCAGACUCCUACGGGAGGCAGCAGUGGGGAAUAUUGGACAAUGGGCGCAAGCCUGAUCCAGCCAUGCCGCGUGAGUGAUGAAGGCCCUAGGGUUGUAAAGCUCUUUCGCCAGGGACGAUAAUGACGGUACCUGGAUAAGAAGCCCCGGCUAACUUCGUGCCAGCCGCCGCCGUAA